CAAACACGUUCCUGUCGGAGGUGCAUGCAGACAUCUCUUUCUGUUUGGAGUAAUUGACCAUGUAUGACAGAGCAUGAGACCUCCCCUUACAGGCCUUCCUGACUCCGAUUUAGUUGAGGUUUGUUUUUAUUAAUUUCACAUUUCUCCCUUUGGAUUAAGAUCUUUCUCCAAGAGCAUCACUGGUCAAGAGUCAGGUCUUUUGAGUUUGGUAGCCUUUGUCCCUCAGUGCCAGGAAGGAUCUUUCCCAAUUGUCAUGUCCCACAUGGAAGAGAAAGUGCACAGUCUGAGGCCACAUUUGAGUAACAAGGAAAGCUAUCAGGGAGAAUUCUCAGGCAUUUUCUUAGCCAGAGUCCAUAUUCUUCUGAGGUUGUAGGCAUUGGAAAUCAUCUGGAGGUGCUGAGCUAGCAUCACCUUAUUAGGUAUGUCAUCUUUACAAAGGUUCAACAGGCAACAAGUACAGAACUUUACAACAAAUAUACAAAGCAAAAUCAACAGCAAUACUAUAAAUCCAGUUUGCAGGAUAGUUCCAAACCAAGCCCAGACCUGAAGGUAACCAGCUGAAUACAUCCAAAGACAGUGGAUUUUCAGAUGAAAUUUAUUGUAGCCAAUGUGCCUGCUCUCUAAUUUUAUGUAAUUGGGUCUCUACCUCCCCAGAGGCAUUUAUCUACGUGCAAUAGGAGGUGUUUGCUAUUGCACAGACACCUCCUUGCUCAGUAAGCGUAUAAUUAAAGUCUAUACAAUUAUUCAAAACUACCUUGCCCAAUGAGUUAAGCAAGCGUUGCUGAGCUGAAAAUGCCUUGGCUGCAGAGUUGGCCAACUCUGCUAGUGUCAGGGUAAGAUUCUUGAUCAUUUGUUGACUGGCAGUCACUUCAAUACAUGGAAAGAAAGUUUUCUACACAGAGGCAAACCCAGAAUCAUCAUGCCUCCUGGAAGUUCUUAUUUAAGGUGAUUAUAGAGGUUUAAGGUGAUGGAGCAAUGAGAGGCUUCACGUAGAGAGAAUAGAACAGUGAAUACAGCAAAGGCACACUCUCCUUAUAUUCUUCAGCUGUCAAAAUGAUGAGUCAGCCAAACAUAAUGGCCAUUCCCCAAACUUUCACACAGGAAGUUGUAACCAUAAGGCUCCCACAUAAGUGAUGGUAUCUAUGGACUCAUUCAUUGGCAUAAAGGCAUUAGCAUAAUUUAACCAAAGCUCACGCGUUAUGUUAUUACAUACUGAGAGGUUACCUAAAUAUAAGGGUCUGUCAAGAAGUUUACAAAUGGCCUGAUUUACAUUGGUGAUCCUAGAAAGUUUCUUAUAUGGCUAUUCGAGAGGUCUCAUUUUCCCAUCCUAGGGGUGGGUUAAGCUGAAACAAGAAACAAAGUGAAGUGGGCUUAGUACCCUAACUUCAUAAAGUAGGUCUGUGGAACAAUUGAACCAUAUAGUAGCACUUGGGAUUCCAGUAAAAAUACUCUGUGGGAACUAAGAGGUCUCAUUUUCCCAUCCUAGGGGUGGGUUAAGCUGAAACAAGAAACAAAGUGAAGUGGGCUUAGUACCCUAACUUCAUAAAGUAGGUCUGUGGAACAAUUGAACCAUAUAGUAGCACUUGGGAUUCCAGUAAAAA
ensembl:lncRNA